UACGUAGGGUGCAAGCGUUGUCCGGAAUUAUUGGGCGUAAAGAGCUCGUAGGCGGUCUGUCGCGUCUGCUGUGAAAACCUAGGGCUUAACUCUGGGCGUGCAGUGGGUACGGGCAGGCUAGAGUGCGGUAGGGGAGACUGGAAUUCCUGGUGUAGCGGUGAAAUGCGCAGAUAUCAGGAGGAACACCGGUGGCGAAGGCGGGUCUCUGGGCCGUAACUGACGCUGAGGAGCGAAAGCGUGGGUAGCAAACAGG
rnacentral:rRNA from 1 species